GGGGGUAUAGCUCAGUGGUAGGGUUCGUGCUUGGCAUGCAUGAGGUCCUGGGUUCCAAUCCCUAGUGCCUCCA
rnacentral:tRNA from 1 species